UACGUAGGGUGCGAGCGUUGUCCGGAAUUAUUGGGCGUAAAGAGCUUGUAGGUGGCUCGUCGCGUCGGGAGUGAAACCCGCGGCUUAACCGCGGGCCUGCUUUCGAUACGGGCGGGCUAGGAGGUUCGGCAGGGGAGACUGGAAGUUCCUGGUGGUAGCGGUGGAAUGCGCAGAUAUCAGGAGGAACACCGGUGGCGAAGGCGGGUCUCUGGGCCGAUACUGACACUGAGAAGCGAAAGCGUGGGGAGCGAACAGG
rnacentral:rRNA from 1 species